rnacentral:lncRNA from 1 species
UACUGCACAAGGCUAACAAAAACGAAUCCGAAGCCUGCAGGGACAAGUUCCAACGAACAAAAGAGUUCACAAAUGCAUUUUAGUUAGUUCAUGUGAAUGCAAACCAUAUCGCCUUUAACACCCAACCGAAUGAGUUCCCACCGAUGUUCACAGUGAAGUCCAUAAGUAAUUUUUGCAGAUCAUCCUAAUGGCGUCGCAAUAUAUCUGUGCAUGGUCCGGUGCAGGCUUCCAUGAAGUCUGGAUGCCGAAGAAGGUUGGGAUGGACUGAAUUGGGUCCACAUGCACAGUUAUGCAGCCCAUGUAUUACAGUUUCACGAGGUCAUGCCGAUUCCAGGUUUAGGGAGUGCUGGGAUUAUUGAGAAUAUAAAUAUACUAUUGCCUGACCUCUUUCCAUCAGUUUGGAUUUUUGGUUCAGUUGGCCAGUGCAUCAAUCUAAUAUAGUAUCAGAGUCAAGAGGUCUUAAUAAAAAAAAAAAUUCUGCGGGCUACACCGAACCCACGCUAAGGACUAAAAUAACCUAGACGUGAGGGGAGUGUUGAGAAUAUAAAUAUAUUGCCUAAUCUCUUUCCAUCAGUUCGGACUUUUGAUUCAGUUGGCUAGUGCAUCAAUCUAAUAGUAUAGGUUUGUAACCUUGAAAGCUGACG